UAGCUUGAACCUCACACACGACAGAUAUCGCUUGGCUCUUUGGUUCUUUUUCUCUCAAAACCCUCCGUCUCCAUCACCCUUUCUAACUUUCCCUUAUGGCUGUUGUCCACAGUUGCCAGAUCUUUAGUUUGCUGUGCUGUGAAGAGACUUUAUCGUCCAACUAUUCGUGUGGGAGAGUUGCUGUGAAGCGCGUACGGUGUUUGAAAUCUAUAUCGAGGUUGCUGUUCGCGUUUGUUCCCGUCCAGCUGUGUGUUACCAAAAUCUGACGCUUCAUUGCCGUUCCAGUCCAGAUCUGAGUCUUCGCGCCUCUGCCGUUGAGUUGCUGGUCCGAGUAGUGGUAGUGUGAAGGGGAAAGACAUAAGUUUAAUUGAUAUCUCUCACAAAAGCCUUUUGUAAGAAUUGGUGUAAUGAAAAUAUACAUUAUUGGUUAUGAACUUGUAUAUAAGUUGCCAUAAUGAUGAUUUUGUUGCGCAUGUGCAUGGUUGAUUGUAAACGUGAAUAUAAUUCUGAUAUCCUAGCCUACUAUGGAUAUAUGUGUGUAUAUGAGGUGAAAAUAUGUUGUGGGCUAGUGAAUAUGUUUAUGGAUAUGUUUGUGUGCGUGUUGUGGAAUCUAGUCGUGGAUAUGAAUGAAAGCAAGAAAAAGGAAUUUUGCCCAAAA